rnacentral:rRNA from 1 species
ACGGAAGGCAGCAGUGGGGAAUAUUGGACAAUGGGGGAAACCCUGAUCCAGCGACGCCGCGUGAGUGAAGAAGUCUUUCGGUAUGUAAAGCUCUAUCAGCAAGGAAGAAAAUGACGGUACUUGACUAAGAAGCUCCGGCUAAAUACGUGCCAGCAGCCGCGGUAAUACGUAUGGAGCACGCGUUAUCCGGAUUUACUGGGUGUAAAGGGAGCGUAGACGGCAAAGCAAGGCUGAAGUGAAAUCUAUGGGCUCAACCCAUAAACUGCUUUGGAAACUGUGUAGCUAGAGUGCAGAAGAGGUAAGUGGAAUUCCUAGUGUAGCGGUGAAAUGCGUAGAUAUUAGGAGGAACACCAGUGGCGAAGGCGGCUUACUGGACUGUAACUGACGUUGAGGCUCGAAAGCGUGGGGAGCAAACAGGAUUAGAUACCCUGGUA